UCCCGCUCGUUUUUUCUCCCCCCCUCAACCAAAAAUUCCCAAAUCUCAAAUCCCUAAUUUUUGAACCAAUAAUCCCCAUCUCUGUCUCUCUCGCGACUGUGAGCAGGGCAGACGAUGGCGUCGAGUGACGGGGUUAAGGAGCCUCAAUCUUUUGUUUCUCACUCCGUUGGCUUUCCCUCUGUUGCUCUCAUUCUAGUGGCGAAGGAGCUGCUGAGAAACCUGAUGUGUAUGCGCACUGUCAGAUUACUCUCUCCCCUUCCAUAUCACAAGGAGGAAAGCGCCCUCUCUUUGCUCUUUCUAUAUCUCUCUGUAAUCGUAUUCAUAAUUCACGUUCUCAUCUCUUCUUCUUCUUCUUGUUUUUGGUUCUUCGCAUCUGUAAUCGCCAACCCGCUCUAUAUAUAGGAAUUCCAUUGGAAACCUUGUGUUUCCUUGACGAUCUGAUCUACAUAAUUGAAGUUUAGAUUUUUGAUUUCGGUUUCUCCUCUGAUCCGUCUCACAAAAUGCCUUCCGCUCUAAAAGUUGAGUAUUAUUUGGUUAAAGUUUUUCAGUUGAACAAGUCUCAUUUGUUGUUUGUUUGUUUAGUUUCUUUUGCAUCUCCCCACUUAACUAAUUUUUAGUUUGACUAGUUUACAUCUCUAUUCUCUGUGUAUUCAUUUCUACACUUCCUAAGUUUGAAAUGAGUGUUGUUGUUGAUUGGAGCAGGAUUGGGAGAUCAUUAAUGAUUUGAGGAUCGACAUGGCUAGGCUUGCAUCAAAAAAUUUAUUAAGGUAACUGAUCUUCAUUUUGUUUUCUUUUCCUUUCAAAUUAGAGCCUUGCAUAGUUUAUCAUUUGCUUGAGCAAUAACCACUAAAGAGGUAGAUAAAAAUAUUUGGUUUUAUUUGAUGAAAAGCUAUUGGAGCAUCCCAUCAAGCUUUUAACCAAUUUUUACUCAAACUUGAUGCUCUUAUAAAUCCAUUUUUCUAAAAAAAAGCACUAGGUCAUUUGGCAUGUCCAUUUCCCACCAAAAAUCCAACUUUAGCCACUUAAAAAUGCCAGUAGUUAAGCCGAAAAUGCUAGAAAGCUAGCAUUUUGGGAACUGUAUGAUUAAGGAAAAAAAAAACCUUAUGUAUUUUUCUCUAUUAACUUUGUAGAACAGUCUUGUGUUUCCAUGAUAGGCAAUUUUAGCAAAAGCUGUUUCCAAUUACUUUGUUAAUGCUUUAUAAUUUGUUCUGUGUUUUAUCUCUGUCUCUCUCAAACUUGUUUACUUCAAAUAUCAAGUUGUAAUAUUUCCAAGUUCCAGGCAGAGAAGAUGGUUCUGGUUGCUUAUGGAUGGAGGCAUACAAUAUCUGUCUCAUCUUCUGGUGGUUUAUACACUUAUGGGUGGAGUAAGUAUGGUCAAUUAGGACAUGGAGAUUUUGAAGACCACCUCAUACCUCAUAGGCGGGAAGCCCUGCGUGAAAAUUUUAUUUCACAGGUAACCUUUUCGGUUUUCAUGGAGUUGAUUAUGAUUUCCUAAUUUGGUAUCAGUUCCUUUAUGUUCUUUUCUUUAGACAGGAAAAUCUAGUGAAAAGAAUAAGAAUAUGGAAUUUGUUGUAUUCUUUAUUUGCUUGAAUUUGUUGUUUAGAGAUCUCAAUACUCUGUUCUCUUUCUCUGCCUUCUUGGUGACAAGGUACUGUUUAAUGAGUCAAUAGAGUUCGGUUGAUGUAUUUCAACUUGUGAAGAGUUUAGUUGCUGUGUGGUUGACAGAGAUUUUGAAAUUUUUAAAGGAAUUUGCUUAAUAAAAGAGCAUCAGAAUGUUUAGUUAAAGGAGGUGCAUAUGAUACACACCCUAUAACGGGUAUGUACCGAAGGGGUUCCCAUAUUAUAUUACUUGGUCCAUUGGCCUUAAUGUUUAGUUAAAGGAGAAUAUUGCUGGUUUUGAUUUCUUAUAUGGGGUCUUUUUUAAUUAUCACUAUCUUUUGCUGGUUUGGUUUUUCACUUGCAGAAAGUAGUUCAGAUCUCAUGUGGGUGGAGGCAUACACUUGCUUUUACUAAAAGACAAAAUGUAUUUUCUUGGAGAAGAGGUACAAAUGGACAGCUUGGGCAUGGGGAGUCAGUUGACCGAAACAUUCCAAAGAUGAUAGAAUCUCUGAGUGCGGAUGGAUCUAGUGGACAACAGAUAGAAUCUUUAAAACUUGACCCAUCUACAGGGAAAGCUUUGGUUUCUCCAAUUGAGAGAUAUGCAGUUGUUCCUGAUGACAAUGUAAGUGUUCUUUCCACAGUCUUCAUUGUCUUCAUUACUGGUGUUUAAAUAGUUAGAAUGUGUGGAACACCUGCUAAUAGAUGAUGGAAGCUAAUAGAUGAUGGAAGCGGCACUCAUUAAAAGAAAAAAAAAAGGAGUGGUGGAAGAGGCAAGAUUAAGUGUUCUUACGAGUAAAUCAAAUUCUAGGGCUUGAAGCUACAAACUAGUUAUUCAUAUUUAAGUUUCAACAAGCACUGCAUAGUGCAAUACAAAUGAUAUUUAAGCAUACACGUAUUUGAAUAUGAUUGGAGGACAUUUGAAAUUUGUCAAAUAUUACAAAGUCUGUCACUAACACAGUUCUUUUCUGGCAUAUGAACUUUGUACGUUGUGAAUCCUAGUUCUUAUCUUUGCUCUGUUACUAUCAUGGGGAUUUAUGUAUUAGCUUUUAUCUCUUAAUGAUUUUGAUGGUAUUUAUUGCUUUGUUCUAGAUUUUCUUCAAAAAGAUUAUAAUUUGCAACUGUUAUCUAUUUAUUUGUAGGUCAAAAGAACAAAUUUUGCCGAGGGGAAGAUCUGAUUCUAGAAGUAAGGAAUUUGCAGCUUGAUUUUUGAAAUAGGCCCAAAAUUGAAAUCUUGUUGGAAAUUUUUUAUUUUUUGUAAGAGCAUUUAAAUAUCCAAGUGUGCUUAUUGGUGAAUAUCAGAUUUUAUUUUAUUAUUUUACUUUUUUUUAGGAUUGGGGUGAAUUUUAUAAUUUAAAUAUGCUUUUAUGAACAUGUACAGUUUAAUUGUUCUUUGUAAAAUAUUGAAUUUGAUGGUUUUAUUAAUUUUUAUUUUCUGUUAUGAUGUUUUUGUGAAUGGAAUGUAAAUAACCAACUCAGAGCAUAUUUUAUAUUAAUUAAAUUAUGAAAUUAAGUAAAAAGGUGGCGUUUUUGUUCAAAACGCCACUAUAUCUUGUGACGUCAUCAAUUUGACAUAAUUAUUUAAGCAGAUUUAAUAGUAUACUGAUGUUUAUGAAAACGUCACUAUAAGUAUCAGUGAUGUUUAUAAAACGCCUUAUACUUAUAGCGACGGCGUUUUGCCAUCGCAAAAAAGCAAUUUUUUGUUGAAACGUAACGCCUUUAGCGACGGUUUUAUUGCCGUUGCCAAUAGCUCUUUAGCGACGGUUCAGGUGCUGUCUCAAAUAAACCUUUAGCGACGGUAUUUUUGUCGUCGCAAAAGACCUUUUUAGCGACUGCAACACAGUGCUGUCUCAGAAAAACUCAGAUUUUCACGCGUUAUUUGCGAUAGAAUUUUUCCGUCACAAAAAAGGCACUUUACCGUCCCAAAAAAAGGCGACGGCGUUAUGCCGUCGCUAAAACCCUUUUGCAACCCCCUUUGUUGCGACCCCCCACUUGCCGUCGCAAAAAGCUAUUUACCGUCGCAAAAAACCUUUUGAGACGGCAUUUGGGGUAUUUGCGACGGCGUUUUACCGUCGCAAAAAAGCAAUUUUUUUGUAGUGUCACCAUCUUAUCCGAACACUUUUAAUCUCUAUCCGAUGAAUUUUCGAUUAUGGGUCCCACUCAGAAUAAACAAAGAUCAGGAUGAUUGUGAGCUGGGCUUAAUAUUUGACGGCUGAGAUUUUCUAGGUGGAGAGCACCAUAUGGUGGCAUGUAUCCAAUCUUGUCUACCCCCCUAAAGUUGGAUGGACGGUGGAAAAUCGUGUUGGGCCCACGUGAUUGUACAGGUGGAGAUUAUUCCAUAUGUCGUUCUUCACCUUCUUACUUGUUUGACCCAUUAAAGAAUAUUUUAAACGUGUCCUCCAAUUUAACGUAAGUUUCGGAAUUUUCUUUUAUAUCAAAAAAUAAAUAAAUAUUUAAAUACAGGAUUUAUUUGGGAGGUACUAAUUUAGUAUAUUAUUUUAUCUUAUUUAAGUUAUAGUA